AAACUUCUUCAGACUUUUUCACCAUUUUCCAUUGAAUUGCUUCAUUCUUUUUGCUGUUUCUUGUGUGAUCUCUCUUCUGCAGGACCUUGUGAAGAACUGUUGAUCAAAACCUUGGAUAAAGCAUCGAGGAAUUGGAACUGUUGCAUCCAAGAACAUUCAUGGCAGUUUGAAGAUUCUACAAUCUGGAGCUGUUUUGAACUGAAAGAACUCUUACAUUCAUC
rnacentral:lncRNA from 1 species